rnacentral:lncRNA from 1 species
CACAAUCCUACCCAAUAUCCAGGUAAUAAAAAGAGUUUUUUAAAAGCUUGAAUUUGCAGGAAAAAUUAAUUAUGGACCAAGGAAUUAUCAUGAACUGAAUACUAAAUAUAAAUUGAGAGUUUCCACACAUGGAUUUAAAAGGAAAAAUCUCAGAUGGUUUAUAAAACAUUUCAGACUUCAGCGUCUCUUCCACAUUCAGUGUUUGGUCAGUAUUAUUUGUUAGACAGUGUCAGCUCUGGUUAGCAUAUCUGUUAGAUGGUAUGUAUUAGGCUUUCCUGCAUUGCUACAAAGAAAUACCUGAGGCUGGGUAAUUUAUAAAGAA